GACGAACGCUGGCGGCGUGCUUAACACAUGCAAGUCGAACGGAAAGGCCCCUUUCGUGUGGGGUGCUCGAGUGGCGCAGGGGAGUGUAACGUGUGAGUAACCUGCCCUUCACUUUGGUAAAACUACAGGAAACUGGGGCAUAUACCAGAUAGGAUCUCCUGGCGCGUUGUGGGGGGGGGAGUGUCUGGGCGGUUGGGUGUGGUCUCGCGGCUUAUCCGCUUUUGGGUGGGGUUGUGGCUUACCAGGGCUUGGACGGGUAGCCGGCCUGAGAGGGUGACCGGCAACGUUGGGACUGGAAUAGGGCCCGGACUCCUCCGGGGGGCAGCAGUGGGGAAAAUUGCACAGUGGGCGGAGGCCGAAUGCGGCAACGCCGCGGGCGGGAUGGCGGCCUUCGGGUGGUAAACCCCUUCCGCCUGUAACAAGGCGUGAGUGACGGUAGUGGGUAAAGAAGCACCGGCUAACUACGUG
rnacentral:rRNA from 1 species